CUGGGGGUAAGCGAGUUGGUAAGGGCAUAUGGCUACCAACCUGAAGGUUGUGGGUUUGAUUCCCGCCCUUCACA